rnacentral:rRNA from 1 species
GAUGAACGCUGGCGGCGUGCCUAAUACAUGCAAGUCGAGCGAACAGACGAGGAGCUUGCUCCUCUGACGUUAGCGGCGGACGGGUGAGUAACACGUGGAUAACUUACCUAUAAGACUGGGAUAACUUCGGGAAACCGGAGCUAAUACCGGAUAAUAUAUUGAACCGCAUGGUUCAAUAGUGAAAGACGGUUUUGCUGUCACUUAUAGAUGGAUCCGCGCCGCAUUAGCUAGUUGGUAAGGUAACGGCUUACCAAGGCAACGAUGCGUAGCCGACCUGAGAGGGUGAUCGGCCACACUGGAGCUGAGACACGGUCCAGACUCCUACGGGAGGCAGCAGUAGGGAAUCUUCCGCAAUGGGCGAAAGCCUGACGGAGCAACGCCGCGUGAGUGAUGAAGGUCUUCGGAUCGUAAAACUCUGUUAUUAGGGAAGAACAAAUGUGUAAGUAACUAUGCACGUCUUGACGGUACCUAAUCAGAAAGCCACGGCUAACUACGUG